AGCCUGAUGCAGCGACGCCGCGUGAGGGAUGACGGCCUUCGGGUUGUAAACCUCUUUCAGUAGGGAAGAAGCGAAAGUGACGGUACCUGCAGAAGAAGCACCGGCUAACUACGUGCCAGCAGCCGCGGUAAUACGUAGGGUGCGAGCGUUAUCCGGAAUUAUUGGGCGUAAAGAGCUCGUAGGCGGUUUGUCGCGUCUGUCGUGAAAGUCCGGGGCUUAACCCCGGAUCUGCGGUGGGUACGGGCAGACUAGAGUGCAGUAGGGGAGACUGGAAUUCCUGGUGUAGCGGUGGAAUGCGCAGAUAUCAGGAGGAACACCGAUGGCGAAGGCAGGUCUCUGGGCUGUAACUGACGCUGAGGAGCGAAAGCAUGGGGAGCGAACAGGAUUAGAUACCCUGGUAGUCCAUGCCGUAAACGUUGGGCACUAGGUGUGGGGACCAUUCCACGGUUUCCGCGCCGCAGCUAACGCAUUAAGUGCCCCGCCUGGGGAGUACGGCCGCAAGGCUAAAACUCAAAGGAUUUGACGGGG
rnacentral:rRNA from 1 species